GGAUGCGAUCAUACCAGCACUAACGCACCAGAUCCCAUCAGAACUCCGAAGUGAAGCGUGCUUAGGCGAUAGUAGUCCUAGGAUGGGUGACUCCCUGGGAAGUGCUCGUGUUGCAUCCC
rnacentral:rRNA from 1 species